CCUGGCGGCACUAGCGCGGUGGUCCCACCUGACCCCAUGCCGAACUCAGAAGUGAAACGCCGUAGCGCCG
rnacentral:rRNA from 4 species